rnacentral:rRNA from 1 species
GACGAGGGGUCCAAGCGUUGUUCGGAAUCAUUGGGCGUAAAGCGGGUGUAGGUGGCUCUGUAAGUCAGGAGUGAAAGCCCCGAGCUUAACUUGGGAAGUGCUUUUGAUACUGCAGAACUUGAGUGUGGGAGAGGAUCGUGGAAUUCCAGGUGUAGUGGUGAAAUACGUAGAUAUCUGGAGGAACACCGGUGGCGAAGGCGGCGAUCUGGCCCAACACUGACACUGAGACCCAAAGCGUGGGGAUCAAACAGGG